UAUUUGAGUAGUCCAUACCAAACUGUGACAGUUUCUGUUAGAGUCCAAAUGGCGUUGAACAAUAUAAAAUUAAAGCUCGAUAGAAAUGGGAUUUAACUGUCUGCGGAAUGGUUUCACUAUAUGUUAUUUUUUUCUAACCGUUUGGCGAACUGUUACAUGUGUUGGUAUUUGUAUGCUACGAAUUAAGCAACAUUUGUGGUACACGCUUAAAACAAUUGUCACGAAGACCACGUCGCUUUGUCGCUUUGUAAACAAAAUAAUUUUAAUUUAUCUCGCAAGUCAACCUACCUAAACGUAGAUCAAUACAUCUUGGCUUAAACAUGUUUUGCUCCUAUUUACAAGUAAAAAUGUGCGUAAGCAUGUGAAUAGUUUUUAUCGCUAAGUGACAUACAGCUGCUUGCAAUUUUUUGAGAGUGUGUUUCUUUUCGUGCCUGUCAAGUCGAUAGGAAAAAAAAAACAAAAACGGUUCCGAAAAUUUUCUGGAAAACUUCAACUAAAUCAACGCGAAUAUAAAAUUGAAUUAGUGCCGUUUGUACCUACCCAUAAUGCACCACCAAUGUCGUCAUCCAUUAGAAUUCGAUGCGGCCAAAAUUCGCUGCCGUUACUGUCGGAGCAAGGGUCGAUUUACUACGACUCAAGUCAAAGUGGCCAUCGGAAGAACAGCAUGUGCAGCUGCAGCUUCCUUCUAUCCACAGGAAACCGGACAACAAUCCAGUGAUCCCCGACAGCCGCUUCAGAUUCGUCUCAACCAUAUCACAUCCUGGAGAACAAAUCAAAUUUCAAAAAAUGUCCAAAGACCAUCCCUGACAUCAAUGCAAUUCUGCCGAACCGCUGUGAAACUGAACUGAAUUUAACAGGCCACCGGAACAUUAGUAUGAGAGUAGUUUAAAAUGUAUGUUUUAUAUUACGUUAUUUAAUUCAGAACUCAAACAUUAAAUAAAUGUAUUAAUGCCCUUCUGAAUAGCAUGAA
rnacentral:lncRNA from 1 species